rnacentral:lncRNA from 7 species
GCACAGCCCUGUCCUCCUUACACCAGGACAGAGGCACCUUUCUUGCUGCCCUCCCUCCACCUACUGCUCCUACAUAACAUGACUUGGCCCCCACACUCACUGCUGUCACCGUUCCUGGGGCAAAGGAGAGAACUGCACAAGGAGUGUCAGACUGCUCAAAGCUAACAGUCCUCUCUGGUGAAGAACUAAGACAUGGCAAGUCCCUGCUGCAAGAACAUGCUCUCUCUGUACAACUUGAACAGAAUCCAUCAGCCCCAAAUCUCCUCUCAUCCUGGCUCAAGUCAUUUUGCUCUCUUCCAUCUUACAGAGAGGAGUUGAAAUGCUCACAGACAACAAGUGCACACCCUAAACCCAGGGUACAGAGGAUGAGUGGAGCUUAGAGAAGGGCAGGGGAUGCCAGGCAGAGCAGUGUUCAUGGACAAUUGUGCAAGUUGCACCCAAAGCCAUAGGAUUCCCAGCCAUAACUCAGAAGGGCUCACUCCCACAAACCUCCAUUCCCCAUUAAAGGAGUCUGGCCACUGAAGCCACGCCACCUUCAGUACCAAAAUGUCAGCAGUAAGUAGUGUCAGGGGGUUGGACAGCACUGUCAGAAGUAUUUGCAAGUAUCCUUUCCUUGAAAGUGGCGUGCUCCUCAGACUCAUCUGCAAUCAUAACUCUCCAGGGAGAGCUGUGUGCUUGGAAGAUCCCAUUGCAGGAACACAGGAAGCCCACGGGCAUUCUCCCAGCAGUUUCAACAAGCUGCAAAACAGGUCUGUGGGCUCUGCCUCUGCUCAGCUGUGAGUGCACAAAGCGGCACAAUUUCACACCAGCACUGGAAGCUGUAUGAAGACAAACCUGCAAAUUGUAACAGCGCAGCACAGUUACAGGAUGAAGAGUACAGCUGGGCAUACAAACGCAGAGACUCAAAUUAAUACGGAGUAUUAAUCAGAAUACACGUGACCCAGUUUCCAGCUUCAUAUAUGCUCCCUGGUCUUCUCAACUGACACUCUCCAAAGGACCAACGCAGACCUGGGAGCAGGGCACUCAGUGCUAGACAAGACUCCACAGCAGGAUGACAGAGAGCUGCAGGAAUCUCAUGUCUCAGCAGUGAAUCUAGCAUUACUAUAUACCGGACCCAAACAUGUUCGUACUGUAAGAGUACAGCACUACCAAUUCACAGUGUUUGUAAUCUGCCCUCACAAUGCAGUGCCCCAGUUACUCCUUUGCUUAGUCACGUUCUGCCUUUGCACCUACUGAAUUUUACUUGUCCAGUUUUAGUUUAUUUCCUCAGCAUGCCAAACUACAUUAAAACCCUAUCCUCCAAUGGAUUUGCAGCUUCCUAUCUCUGCAGGCUGUAUGUAGUGGUUUCCAUUUCAUUAUCAAAAUAACUAAAACAACUACUGAUCAGAAGUAGACCUAGGCCAAACCCCCGCAAAAACUCCUUCCUUCCUCAAGGGAUAAUUAUGUCACACAUAAGAACCACGUUAUAUCCAGACAGCAGUAACUAACAUGAGUUGGAACCAGACCUGUGCUGAGGAAUGAUCCACCUAUAUCCUGAAUGAGUUCAAAAGGGAUAUUAAUGUGAGAAGGAGAGGGGGGUGAAAAAUCAGAGUAGAGGUUCAGCUGAGCAUGACUGAUAACUGGAAAUUGGUCUUCAGCUCAAGCUGGGGGAAAAAACUGGGGAAAUCCCAGGACUACACUUACAGAUGAAAAACUUGUUGACUGCCAUUCCCUUUCUGGCCUAAUGGACUGGAAGAGAGGAACAGAGAGAAUCUGAAACUCUCAGCAGAUUGCUUCCAGGUCUGGCUUUUCUCUUGCAGCAUGUGUGGAUGCCAAGCAGCAGCAGGGGAUGAUCAGAGUGGUUAGAAGAUGUGCUUUCCUUCUGCUCUGCCAUUCUACAGUACUUCAUCCUCGUGAAGAAAACCAGGAAUAAGAUUUGAGGUUGUUAAAAUAAGAAAAAUAGAAAGUGAAAUUUGGAAAAGCUGGGGUGUUUAAGAAAAUGCUUGAAUAAAAGUAUUUUUUCU